CAGCAGCAGCCGCGGGAAUACCGAGGGUGCAAGCGUUAAUCGGAAUUACUGGGCGUAAAGCGCGCGUAGGUGGUUUGUUAAGUUGGAUGUGAAAUCCCCGGGCUCAACCUGGGAACUUCAUCCAAAACUGGCAAGCUAGAGUAUGGUAGAGGGUGGUGGAAUUUCCUGUGUAGCGGUGAAAUGCGUAGAUAUAGGAAGGAACACCAGUGGCGAAGGCGACCACCUGGACUGAUACUGACACUGAGGUGCGAAAGCGUGGGGAGCAAACAGGAUUAGAUACCCCUGUAGUCCCUGUCUCUUAUAU
rnacentral:rRNA from 1 species